GAUGAAGAACGCAGCGAAAUGCGAUAAGUAGUGUGAAUUGCAGAAUUCAGUGAAUCAUCGAAUCUUUGAACGCACAUUGCGCCCCUUGGUAUUCCAUGGGGCAUGCCUGUUCGAGCGUCAUUUGUACCUUCAAGCUCUGCUUGGUGUUGGGUGUUUGUCCUUGCUCUAGUGGCGGGACUCGCCUUAAAGUAAUUGGCAGCCAGUGUUUUGGUUUUGAAGCGCAGCACAAGUCGCGAUUCAAGUCUAUACGCUAGUUUCCACAAGUCUUUUAUCACUUUUGACCUCGGAUCAGGUAGGGAUACCCGCUGAACUUAAGCAUAUCAAUAACGGAGGA
rnacentral:misc_RNA from 1 species